rnacentral:rRNA from 1 species
AACGUACGCUGGCGGCACGCUUAACACAUGCAAGUCGAACGAAGUAGCAAUACUUAGUGGCAGACGGGUGAGUAACAUGUGGGUAUCUGCCCUUUGGCCUGGAAUAACACGAGGAAACUUGUGCUAAUACCGGAUAAGUCUUUACGGAGAAAGCUUUAUGCACCAUUGGAUGAGCCCGCACUUGAUUAGUUUGUUGGUGGGGUAAUGGCCUACCAAGACUGUGAUCAAUAGCUGAUUUGAGAGGAUGAUCAGCCACAUUGGGACUGAGACACGGCCCAAACUCCUACGGGAGGCAGCAGUGGGGAAUCUUGCACAAUGGAGGAAACUCUGAUGCAGUGAUGCCGCGUGAGUGAAGAAGGCCCUUGGGUUGUAAAGCUCUUUCGUCGGGGAAGAAAAUGACUGUACCCGAAUAAGAAGGUCCGGCUAACUUCGUGCCAGCAGCCGCGGUAAUACGAAGGGACCUAGCGUAGUUCGGAAUUACUGGGCUUAAAGAGUUCGUAGGUGGUUGAAAAAGUUAGUGGUGAAAUCCCAGAGCUUAACUCUGGAACUGCCAUUAAAACUUUUCAGCUAGAGUAUGAUAGAGGAAAGCAGAAUUUCUAGUGUAGAGGUGAAAUUCGUAGAUAUUAGAAAGAAUACCAAUUGCGAAGGCAGCUUUCUGGAUCAUUACUGACACUGAGGAACGAAAGCAUGGGUAGCGAAGAGGAUUAGAUACCCUCGUAGUCCAUGCCGUAAACGAUGUGUGUUAGACGUUGGAAAUUUAUUUUCAGUGUCGCAGCGAAAGCGAUAAACACACCGCCUGGGGAGUACGACCGCAAGGUUAAAACUCAAAUGAAUUGACGGGGACCCGCACAAGUAGUGGAGCAUGUGGUUUAAUUCGAAGAUACGCGCAGAGCCUUACCAACACUUGACAUGUUCGUCGCGACUCUAAGAGAUUAGAGUUUUCGGUUCGGCCGGACGAAACACAGGUGCUGCAUGGCUGUCGUCAGCUCGUGUCGUGAGAUGUUGGGUUAAGUCCCGCAACGAGCGCAACCCUCACUUUUAGUUGCCAUCAUUAAGUUGGGCACUCUGAAAGAACUGCCAGUGAUAAGCUGGAGGAAGGUGGGGAUGACGUCAAGUCCUCAUGGCCCUUACGUGUUGGGCUACACACGUGCUACAAUGGUAUCUACAACAGGAAGCAAGACUGCGAGGUCAAGCAAAUCCUUAAAAGAUACCUCAGUUCGGAUUGCACUCUGCAACUCGAGUGCAUGAAGCUGGAAUUACUAGUAAUCGUGGAUCAGCGUGCCACGGUGAAUGCGUUCCCGGGUCU